CAAGAAAUAGUUUAAUUAGAAUUUUAGCUUUGGGGGCUAGAGGCAGGGGUUUAAACCCUCUUUUUUUGA
rnacentral:tRNA from 1 species